AUGCAGUCGAACGGCAGCACAGUAAGAGCUUGCUCUUAUGGGUGGCGAGUGGCGGANGGGUGAGGAAUACAUCGGAAUCUACUUUUUCGUGGGGGAUAACGUAGGGAAACUUACGCUAAUACCGCAUACGACCUACGGGUGAAAGCAGGGGAUCUUCGGACCUUGCGCGAUUGAAUGAGCCGAUGUCGGAUUAGCUAGUUGGCGGGGUAAAGGCCCACCAAGGCGACNAUCCGUAGCUGGUCUGAGAGGAUGAUCANCCNCACUGGAACUGANACACGGUCCANACUCCUACGGGNGGCANCNUUGGGGAAUAUUGGACA
rnacentral:rRNA from 1 species